AGUUCGUGAAGAAUGGGUAUUAAAUCUUUAGAUGUUCAGUGGAAUUCAUUCAUGAAGACAUCUGAGACUGCACUUUUCUUUCCCUGGCACCAGAGAGAUGAGAGGAGAAACCUGACAAUAUCCCCAGCCUGAGCCAUCACCAGACUCCAUCCUCCUGAGUGCCCCUGAACCAGCAUCACCGCUGAACACUCUGGAAGACCUACAGAAACUGAGAGAAGGUUCUGCAAAGAGCUGUAAGGAUGCACUGAAUAUUUGCCGUUGCGGAUGAGGCUGCUGGAGCAUUGGAGAUCCAUUCAUCAUGCCAAAGUGUAGCUCAGGGAGUCACCUCCAUGGAAAAUGUGUGCUUUCCAAACGUGGCUACCAGGUCGUUGUGGAAUUCCAUCCAGAAGCACCUUGUUCUUCCAUCGCCAUCAUUCUGGACAAGGCAGAAUCCACAUUCCCCAUAUUACUAACUUUAAAGCAGAAAUGUUACGCCUUUGCCUGUAAUUGAAAUUGUAGUCAUUUGAAAAUCAAAUAUUGCUAAAAUUUGAUGUUAGAGGGAUAGAUGAUCAAUAAUUGGGUUGAAAGAAUACUGUCUCUCAUUAAGCAAAAUGAAAAUGUUUUCAGAGAUUUGUGAAAUGUUUUGCUAUGAAGACUUUUCACUGCAAAGCACCCACUUUGUUUAAAGCAAUAAGGCAACGUGCUGGAUGAACGUAAAGAAGUUUUCAACACAGAACUUCACAAUAAAAAUGGUAAGAAAUGCACACAAACCAUGGAAAUCAAGUGCUGUAAGAGUGUGUUUUAUAAAAGUGGCUGAAGGAAAUGCUUUGGACAUUUCUAUUAAUUAUAGCCAAUGUUCAUGGAUCUGUAUGCUGAGUACACACCUAGGCAUUUGCAUUUCAUUAUUUCUUUGAACUCUUUCAAAAGCCCUGAGGUCUUUAUGAUUAUCUCCAUUUCACAAAUGAUGAUACAGAGGAACAGGGAAAGCAAGUGAUUUGCUGGCUGUCAUAGAGCCACGUUGGGGAGCCAAGAUUUAAAACCCAGGCAAUUACAUUCCAGAACUGUAUAGCGAUUGCACAUUGGAUGGAUGGAGUCAAGUAAUUCCUUCUACUGGACGCAGUGGUGGUGAGGAUGGGGAAAGGAUGAAAGCAACAAAAAUAAAACAUAAGCAGGGAGGCUUUCCUCCAGGUAGUUUUCAGUUUUUCUUUUAUAUAGAGAGUAGGGGGAAAUUCAUCCUGCUUCUUCCUUGGAAAUACAGACUCUGUGUAUGAAGACAUCUUUUAUAAUCCCAAUUUAGCAACAGCCUCGAGCUGUUCUUAACUUGGGAAAUGCUGUGUGGCUGACUCAAACUGACAGUGAUGAACAUAUUUUGGCUGACACCUUACCAAAAUUUGGGUUUAUUUAUUUCAUUAAUAUUUUUCUUCAGGCAAAAUAUAUUUGUCAUGCCCUUUCUAUUUAUAACCUGGAAAUGUUUCCUGUUUAGAGUCAGACUCUUUGUGACAGGCCACCAAGAAGCAGAAGACAGAUGGUUUAGAUGC
rnacentral:lncRNA from 1 species